GCGGGCGCGGGUGACUUUGGUUUGUGGGCUGCGCACAUUCGCCCGUCUGCUUCUUCCCGCAGGUCAGCUCAGCCGAAGGGGCAGCGAAAGAGGAGCCCAAGAGGAGAUCGGCGAGGUUGUCAGCUAAACCUGCUCCUGCAAAAGUGGAAACGAAGCCAAAAAAGGCAGCAGCCAAGGAUAAAUCUUCAGACAAAAAAGUACAAACAAAAGGGAAAAGGGGGGCAAAGGGAAAACAGGCCGAAGUGACUAACCAAGAAACUAAAGAAGAUUUACCUGCAGAAAAUGGAGAAACUAAAAACGAGGAGAGUCCAGCCUCUGAUGAAGCAGGAGAGAAAGAAGCCAAGUCUGAUUAAUAUCGUAUACCAAGUCUUAUCAGUGGUUCCUGUCACCCUUGUACAAUCCAGAGGAAUAUUUUUAUCAACUAUUUUGUAAAUGCAAGUUUUUUAGUAGUUCUAGAAACAUUUUUAAGAAGGAGGGAAUCCCACCUCAUCCCAUUUUUUAAGUGUAAAUGCUUUUUUUUAAGAGGUAAAAUCAUUUGCUGGUUGUUUAUUUUUUGGUACAACCAGAAAAUAGUGGAAUAUUGAAUUAUUGGAGGCUUUGACUGUCCUGGGUGUCAGCUUAACAUUCCAUAGAUGGAGGUAGUUUUUAUAUCCUGUAAUACAAAGCAUACUAAAUGGCAAUUUGAAGUCACAGUCACAUAUUUACUGUGUCUUGAACAUUUAAAAUUAGUUCUAUUCCCAUGUUAUUUUUUAGUAGAAUUGUUUCUUAAAGAAGACCACUCCUUAAUCAUUGCUCUCCCUAUCAGAACUGUGUGCACUCUGUAACAUCUUUGGUCAUGGUAGUCUAGUUUUCCUAAUAGUUUUGUUAAUGUGUUGUGAAUGAUUAGAAAUUUGAUUAUGUAGUGUAUAUGAUAUUAAAUUGUGAAUUGGUGGGACUUAUGUAACAGCUUACCAACAUCUGGAGAUACUGGUACUUGAUAUCCUCUUAAGGAAAAUUUGCCUCCAAAUUUGAAGCUGGAAGGUCACUGGAAAACUUUUUAAAAAAAUCAUGAUAUGUGGCUUUUUAGAAUUUCGGUACAUAUGUUAAGAAUUGUGUACAAAUUGAAAUGUCUGUAAUGAUCCUCAACACAACCAAUAAAAUCUCAAUUAUGAAAGAAUGUUUUGAAGCACAUGG